rnacentral:misc_RNA from 1 species
AAAGAAUCAACUGAAAUCACAAAAAAUGAACAAUAGCAACACAAAAAUGUACCUAGAUAUCAUAAGUGAUUAAUAGAGAACAAUAACAUAAAAAAUAGAAGACAUCAAACAAAUAUGUUCAACUAUACAACCAUAAAUCAUAAUCAAAUUAAAUUGCAUGAUCUCAAAUAUUUCUACAAUGUACGAAUCAUAGACACUUAGAUAAACCAAAAAAUAGGGCUUUAGAAAGCAACUUAAGAAGUCUACAUUGCAAGCACACUUCAACUUGGAAGACACCAACACCCAUUGCUUGGGUUCAGUUAUCUGUCUCAUAAUCCUGGAGACUAGAUUAGAUUCAAAACUAAUUGCACACUCACAACAAAGAAAAAGGGGGAACAAUCAUGGAUUUCAGCAAAGGUUUUUUU